AGAGUUUGAUCCUGGCUCAGGACGAACGCUGGCGGCGUGCUUAACACAUGCAAGUCGAACGAAGCUUGAUUACGGAUUCUUCGGAAGAAGUAUGAUAUGACUGAGUGGCGGACGGGUGAGUAACGCGUGAGUAACCUGCCCUUCAGAGGGGGAUAGCGUUUGGAAACGAACGGUAAUACCGCAUAAUGUAUUUUGACCGCAUGAUCGAAAUACCAAAGAUUUAUCGCUGAAGGAUGGACUCGCGUCUGAUUAGGUAGUUGGUGGGGUAACGGCCUACCAAGCCGACGAUCAGUAGCCGGACUGAGAGGUUGAUCGGCCACAUUGGGACUGAGACACGGCCCAGACUCCUACGGGAGGCAGCAGUGGGGAAUAUUGCACAAUGGGCGCAAGCCUGAUGCAGCAACGCCGCGUGAAGGAAGACGGUUUUCGGAUUGUAAACUUCUGUUCUUAGUGAAGAAUAAUGACGGUAGCUAAGGAGCAAGCCACGGCUAACUACGUGCCAGCAGCCGCGGUAAUACGUAGGUGGCAAGCGUUGUCCGGAAUUACUGGGUGUAAAGGGAGCGUAGGCGGGAUGCCAAGUCAGCUGUGAAAACUACGGGCUUAACUUGUAGACUGCAGUUGAAACUGGUAUUCUUGAGUGAAGUAGAGGUUGGCGGAAUUCCGAGUGUAGCGGUGAAAUGCGUAGAUAUUCGGAGGAACACCGGUGGCGAAGGCGGCCAACUGGGCUUUAACUGACGCUGAGGCUCGAAAGUGUGGGGAGCAAACAGGAUUAGAUACCCUGGUAGUCCACACUGUAAACGAUGAUUGCUAGGUGUGGGGGGUCUGACCCCUUCCGUGCCGGAGCUAACGCAAUAAGCAAUCCACCUGGGGAGUACGACCGCAAGGUUGAAACUCAAAGGAAUUGACGGGGACCCGCACAAGCAGUGGAUUAUGUGGUUUAAUUCGAAGCAACGCGAAGAACCUUACCAGCACUUGACAUCCGACUAACGAAGUAGAGAUACAUUAGGUGCCCUUCGGGGAAAGUCGAGACAGGUGGUGCAUGGUUGUCGUCAGCUCGUGUCGUGAGAUGUUGGGUUAA
rnacentral:rRNA from 1 species